UGCGGGAUGGUGAAAUGGUAUCACGGCUGGCUCUGAACCAGUUAUUCUGGGUCCGAAUCCUAGUCCCGCAG
rnacentral:tRNA from 1 species